rnacentral:lncRNA from 1 species
ACGUGCUGGGAGCCCGGGUCGCGGCAGGACCCACGCACCGGCUAAGUGCUAGCCAUUCGCGGGUCUCCUCUCGCGGCCCGGUCGGCACCAAGCCGAAGAGGCCGGGGCAGGGCCGCCGGGCCGGCGCAAGGAUGCGUUCUGCGGCCCCGGCCUGUACUCGCCGCUCACACGCCCCCUGCGCGCCAGGCCCGUACACCGCCACCGGCACUCACAGAGCCACCCGGCCUUCACCCGGCCGCUGGGCCGCCGCCUGGGCACCGCGCCGCGCCCGCCCUCCGCCCGGCCGGUUCCUGUCCUCUCCGCCACAUCCUGACCCGCCCGCCGCCCCCUUUCUUACCGGCGGGCUUGGCGGGGCGGAGGGAGCCGACUCGGGUGGACGGCCUCCCCCGCGCCCAGGCCCGGGAUCUCCGCCGCCCAGUCCUAGGGCUCCGGCGUCUCGGGGUAAGCAAGAGUCCGUGCGGGGGAGGGGGAAGGGGACAGACGCGGAGGGGAAGGGGAAGCCCCGGUCCGCAGCACCAACGCGCGAUCCCCUGCGGAGUGGAGCUAACAAUUCAUUAUUGAAGCACCAAGGGCGAGGGCAGCAAGAGCUAUAAGUAACCAGUCGUCGCCGCCGCCGCCGCCGCCGUCGCGCGCGCGCUCCCGCUCCCUCCGCUUAUCUGCCCCCGGCAGCCGCCAUGACGCCGAGAAAGCAAGCGAGCGCAACCGUCUCCGUCGUAGCCGCCGCCGCCACCGAGGUCGCCGUCGCCUCCGCCUCCCGCGCGACGUAAGCGCCUCUGCUCACUCCCCUUCCCGACAGAGCGCGAGGCGGGCGGGCGCGCGCACGCCGAAGCCUUUCUGCUCGCGCGCGGGAGGCGGGAGGGACUACGUUGAAGGGUCGUGGGCGUAGGAAAAAAGCGAUUGGUGCUGGGGCGGGGCGGGGGGGGCGAGUGCGCGCACGCGCACGAAUGGGAGUGCGCACGGCGGAUGCGCAGAGGCUGUCGGACUCUGACUGCGCGGAGACCGCUGGACUCUGGUCGCGGCCUUAGUCCGCUGAUCCUCGCUUGGGUGCCCGCCCUUAGCGGCCCGGCGUUGAAUUCCGGGAAGUGGGAGCUUCAGGCUCGCUCCGUGCGGGUAUGGGCGCUAAUGUCACUUGGGAUGGUUGCGCAAGGACAUCGCGGCGGACACUGACAAGGAACCGGGGAGGAACGGGGGUGGGGAGAGACUGCGAUGGGACUCGGGAAGCCGGGAAGGGCCGCGCUGAAUAAGCCUAAGGGGCCGGGUCGCAAGGAGUGUCGGGUAGCACAGGCCUCGGCUCAGUCGGAGCGCCAGGCCUCAGGGUCCGGGCGGGGGCUGCUGCGUCACACCAGGCAGCCUGGGAACGCAACUGUUGGGCAACCGUGGUGGCCUCUCGCCACCUCUUACGCUUGGGCGAUCUGCGAUUGACGCAUCCUGGGAGCUGAUGUCCCGCACGGGCGGGGCGCCGGAGGAGGAGAGAAAAUAGAGACCCGGUUGUUGACAGCCUGUGAUGCCGCUUGAUUCAUGUGUGGGUGGCCUGGUUUAGAAAUGUACCACCCUUCCUUUCUAGGUUCCUCCCCGGAGGGCGGGGUGACGGGUGCGGCGCCGAAUCGCAACAAAAAACGCUGCUCGAGGGAUGUUAGUAACUGUCUCAGCUUAAGUUGCUGCCUUUUAGCUUACAGUUUGUAUCGUAACUGUAAUUGUGGAUCUUAGUUAAAUCCCUUCAGUGUGUUGGAAACAUAUUUUUAAGUGUAUUUUUGAAACAUACUUAGAGCAUUUUGAAAUGCUUUUUUGAAAGCGUUUUUUAAAUCAAAAUUCUGUUACACUUUAUUUUUUUCAGUCUGCAGAUGAACUUGACUCACUCAAGGUUAAUGAUUUUUGUUUUUUAUUUAUGUUUGUAGAGGCGGGGUUUUGUCAUGUUGCUAGGUUGGUGUUGAACUCCUGAGCUCGAGCGAUCCACCUGCCACUGCCUUCCAAAGUGCUGGAAUUACAGGCGUGAGCCACGGCGCCCGGUGGCCGAGGUUAAUAAUAAUUAAAAGUUUCUAAUCCCAUUGUUCAGUUAUUUGAUUUGGUGUAAAGGCGCACUUUCCAAGUCAGAUGAGUUUGUGGUAACAUACAUUCCCCAAAUAAUUAUUUUUCCCUUGUGGGAAAUAUUCCAGUUUUAGGCUACCAGCUGUUUAAACAGUUUGGUUCAAAUCCUUCAAAAAAAUCUCAAAACAUAACUCCACAUAUGUAUUUACUACAUAUUGAAGGGUGUAUUCACUUGGAGAAGUAGGAGAAAGCAAACAGAUGCCAAUGGCCUUUUUGAAAACAUGUAUCUAUCAGCAAUAAUUGAAUAGCAAAACGAAGUGGAACACUACCAUCCUUUGCAAUAUUAGAUAGUUUUAAUACUGGGUUGUGAGGAAUGAAAAGAUCAUACAAAUCGUCAUUUCUGAAGUCAUUUCUGAAGUCGUCAUUUCUGAACUGAGUGCUAAUUUUUCAUAUUAAGCUUUAUGUUAAUAUCCUUAAUGAGAGGAACUUCCUGUGCCCGUAAUUUCUCCAGAGAAACUAUUAACAUACACAGAAUGUUGUAAUCAGAAGUAUAGUUCAGUUAAUAAAGUCCUCAAUUACAACUCUGACAUUUUGUCAUUGUCUUAUGAAAAGAAUUACUGUAUAUACAGUCUAUUUUACGUUUUCCGGAAGCACGUCAGGCAGGUUUUUUGUUUUUUUACUACUAAUUGUGCCAUUGAAUAUGCUAUUCUGUCGUAUUGUGCCAUCAAACAUGCUAUUCGAAAAAAGAUCUUGCCCAAUUUGUAAUAAAAUAUUGAACAUUGGAGAUUUAGAUUUCGAGUAAAAUCAUACUUUAUUGCUUUGCAGAAGUACACAGUAGGUGGAAAAUUGCAACAA